CUUACGACCUACGAAAUUCAGCUUCUCAGAGGGAGGUGUUCCGUGCCUGCCACUGGGGGCCGUGAUCUGACGGCACGCCGAUCAAUAACGAUGGAUUUUCUAUUUCGCUACGGAAAACAGGGCUCUCUCUGGGUCACAGUGAAAUCGCCUCCAACUCCACUGCUUAGACUCCGUCACCCACUGAGACCAAAGAUUUGGGGCAACCAAGAAGCAACGUGCUCCAAGUCACAAGACAUCAGCUGGAUUCGGCGAGUAACAGCCCGAAUUUCCCAACUUCUAUUCCAGCACGACAGAAAAUGCCCUUUCUACAUCAGAGAAAGUGCCAAGGGGAUUUCCAGUUUGUAAUCUUUAGAUUGGAUUACUGCUACUCAAGUUGAGGUUAGUGAAGACAACUCAGAACUUCAUCUGGUAAAAAUGCAACAGAAUAUUGACUCCGACUACUAGGUACAUGAUUCAGCUAGUCUCCAAUUUGAAGUCUUCCCUGGUUCUGAAGUCAACUGCAGUUCAGGUCACUACUUAGAACAAAUACAAUAUUCCUAACUUUCCACGAAUUCCUGAAUUUGAAUUUCAUGCUACCAUAAAGUCUCUUUUCAUGGAGGGCCUUCAUUUCUGCAAUGCCUUUACCAACCUGGUUUAAUAGAACGGCAGUUUAAUCUUUAGGGUACGCAGCAAAACAUUCUUCUUGUUUCCCUCUUCCCUUCUCACCCAAUUUGGCCUCAGUUGUUCGAACCCUGCAGUUUUAUAUAAGAGG